rnacentral:rRNA from 1 species
UACGUAGGGAGCAAGCGUUGUCCGGAAUCAUUGGGCGUAAAGAGCGUGUAGGCGGUCCUGUAAGUCCGCUGUGAAAGUCAAGGGCUCAACCCUUGAAUGCCGGUGGAUACUGCAGGACUAGAGUCCGGAAGAGGCGAGUGGAAUUCCUGGUGUAGCGGUGAAAUGCGCAGAUAAUCAGGAGGAACACCGAUGGCGAAGGCAGCUCGCUGGGACGUUACUGACGCUGAGACGCGAAAGCGUGGGGAGCAAACAGG